rnacentral:tRNA from 1 species
CGGGAUGUAGCGCAGAUGGUAGCGCGCCUGCUUUGGGAGCAGGAUGCCGCAGGUUCGAAUCCUGUCAUCCCGACCA